rnacentral:ribozyme from 1 species
UGCCCAGCAACUCCUAUCCCUACCUCCACGCGGUUCCGGCCGGAAACUAUGAGUAACCUUAGGGAAGAUCGGGUAACCCAUCCCGGUGGGAAAUUUGGUCGUAGGCUGACAGGGAAGG